GCUUUGACAAAGCAUGCACUUAAAUUCGAACGACACAGAGAUUAGCAUGGCCCUGUACCAGGAUGACCCAGCAUACAGAGAAGAUACAAAGACCUGC
rnacentral:snRNA from 1 species